rnacentral:rRNA from 1 species
CAUAUCAAUAAGCGGAGGAAAAGAAACCAACAGGGAUUGCCCUAGUAACGGCGAGUGAAGCGGCAACAGCUCAAAUUUGAAAUCUGGCCUUCGGGUCCGAGUUGUAAUUUGUAGAGGAUGCUUUUGGUGAGGUGCCUUCCGAGUUCCCUGGAACGGGACGCCAUAGAGGGUGAGAGCCCCGUCUGGUUGGACACCGAUCCUCUGUAAAGCUCCUUCGACGAGUCGAGUAGUUUGGGAAUGCUGCUCUAAAUGGGAGGUAUAUGUCUUCUAAAGCUAAAUAUUGGCCAGAGACCGAUAGCGCACAAGUAGAGUGAUCGAAAGAUGAAAAGCACUUUGAAAAGAGAGUUAAAAAGUACGUGAAAUUGUUGAAAGGGAAGCGCUCAUGACCAGACUUGGGCUUGGUUGAUCAUCCAGGGUUCUCCCUGGUGCACUCUUCCAGUUCAGGCCAGCAUCAGUUCGCUGUGGGGGAUAAAGGCUUUGGGAAUGUGGCUCCCUCGGGAGUGUUAUAGCCCAUUGUGUAAUACCCUGUGGUGGACUGAGGUUCGCGCAUUCGCAAGGAUGCUGGCGUAAUGGUCAUCAGCGACCCGUCUUGAAACACGGACCAAGGAGUCGUCUUCGUAUGCGAGUGUUCGGGUGUUAAACCCCUACGCGUAAUGAAAGUGAACGCAGGUGAGAGCUUCGGCGCAUCAUCGACCGAUCCUGAUGUUCUCGGAUGGAUUUGAGUAAGAGCAUACGGGGCCGGACCCGAAAGAAGGUGAACUAUGCCUGUAUAGGGUGAAGCCAGAGGAAACUCUGGUGGAGGCUCGCAGCGGUUCUGACGUGCAAAUCGAUCGUCAAAUAUGGGGCAUGGGGGCGAAAGACUAAUCGAACCUUCUAGUAGCUGGUUUCCGCCGAAGUUU